CGGGGGGCGGGCCCGGCCAAUGGCGGGCGCGUGUGGCGCCCGUCACCGUGGCGACGGGGCCGGUCCCGGGGAGGCGGUGAUGGGUUGACAGGUGCGUGACAGUCGGGAGCUUCUCCGCAGGCAUGUACGGCAAAGGCAAGAGCAACAGCAGCGUCCCGUCCGACAGCCAGGCCCGCGAGAAAUUAGCACUGUACGUAUAUGAAUAUCUGCUCCAUGUAGGAGCACAGAAAUCAGCCCAGACAUUUUUAUCAGAGAUAAGAUGGGAAAAAAACAUCACACUGGGGGAGCCCCCAGGAUUCUUGCAUUCCUGGUGGUGUGUGUUCUGGGAUCUCUACUGUGCAGCUCCAGAAAGACGAGAAACAUGUGAACACUCGAGUGAAGCAAAAGCCUUUCAUGACUAUAGUGCUGCAGCAGCUCCCAGCCCAGUGCUAGGAAACAUUCCCCCAGGAGAUGGCAUGCCAGUAGGUCCAGUACCACCGGGGUUUUUUCAGCCUUUCAUGUCCCCCCGGUACCCUGGAGGCCCAAGGCCACCUCUCAGAAUACCCAACCAGGCCCUCGGAGGUGUCCCAGGGAGUCAGCCCCUCCUGCCCAGCGGGAUGGACCCCACACGGCAGCAGGGUCAUCCAAACAUGGGUGGGCCAAUGCAGAGGAUGACUCCUCCAAGGGGAAUGGUGCCAUUAGGACCACAGUCUGACCCUUGGUUGUCGUUGCAGAACUAUGGAGGUGCCAUGAGACCCCCCCUGAACGCUUUAGGCGGCCCGGGGAUGCCUGGGAUGAACAUGGGUCCUGGGGGUGGUAGACCUUGGCCAAACCCAACCAAUGCCAAUUCUAUACCCUACUCCUCAGCCUCUCCUGGGAACUACGUGGGUCCUCCAGGAGGUGGAGGGCCACCAGGAACACCCAUCAUGCCUAGUCCUGCAGAUUCAACCAACUCUGGAGACAACAUGUACACUUUAAUGAACGCUGUGCCACCUGGGCCCAACAGACCUAAUUUCCCACUGGGGCCGGGCUCAGACGGGCCCAUGAGCGGGCUGGGUGGAAUGGACUCACACCACAUGAACGGAUCAUUAGGCUCAGGAGACAUGGACAGUAUUUCCAAAAACUCUCCCAGUAAUAUGAGCAUGAGCAACCAGCCUGGCACUCCCAGGGAUGACAGUGAGAUGGGUGGAAACUUCCUAAACCCUUUUCAGAGUGAGAGUUACUCCCCUAGCAUGACAAUGAGUGUGUGACCCGUUCUCAAGUGUCGCCGUGAAGACCACAGUGAGUUGGCCCUCUCCAGAGAGCUACUGCAGAAGAAAAUUAUUCGUCCCAGUGUACAGUUUAACUAAAGGAUCUCAGACACAAUCAGACCCACCUGAUUUUUUUUUGUUUUUCUCCUACCAUCUCCCCCGUUUUGUCAAGACAGUGGGUCCCAAACAUGCUUGAGACAACCGCAAGGAGUGGCAUGAGGGAAGUGCCCGAGGUGGAGCUGCCAGCCUGUCUGUGUGUGUACAUGUGUGGGUCAGCGUGGGGUGUGUGUGUGUGACACGCAAGCACACACACACACUCAGACCCCAGGACACUGUAACAUAGGAUCAUGUGACAUCUUACGUAGAAAUCAGAAGUAGGGACUUUUAUUCCAUUUCUUUUUUUUUUUUCACGUUUACAUUUUAAUUAUUAAAAUUUGCUUUCCCUCUCCCAUCCUGAAAUGUUUUAUGUUGCAUAUAUCACUGCUUUAUAAGUUAUUUUUUAAGUUGAACUCAAAGGAUAAAUCUUUUGAUUUUGUUAGUGUCUGCCAUUAUGGAUAGGAAUAAAAUUGCUUAUACGAGCUUUCAUUACCUUGUGUUUGAUACCAGCUACCCUGUGAAUCACAAAUUGUACUGUGUCAAGAAAUAGAAGAAAGCUCAUCUUAAUUUUUUGGAGAAAUUUAAUAACUUCCACCUAGUUUGGGGAUUUUUUUUGAUACUUUGCCUUUAAGAGGAAAAAAAAAGCACUGAAGGUUAUUUUUCUUCUUUAAUUGAAGCCUAAUAUCUGCAAUAUCUAUUUUAAAUGGAAGCCUGAAUUUGAUACAAGCUUCUCAGUUUAUAUAGAGUACUAUAAGGUUACUGUAAGUGAGCUCCAAUUGCUAUAGAAUCUAGCAAUAAAGUGUCAGGGCUUCUCCCGCCCUUGGAAUUGAGUUUUCUAUUUAGCAUGGUCUUCUGUAGGGGUAGUAGUUAGUGGAAAUACAGUAGAGUCCUUAUCACCAAAACAUUUUCCAACAACUGAAAAUUAUGUUUCCCAUUUUCAGUGAUUCUCAAACAUAUAUGGGCAAUCUGUGCUCCUAAUUAUAAACAGUAUUUCCCAAGCCCAUUUAGAAAAUCAGGUCACCCUGCUGUUUGGGUGUGUGUUUUCUGCCAUAUCUGCCAGAAUUAAUUCCCACAAAACUUUCCAGUCAGUAGCCUUGUUUUUCAUUUUUGAGCCAAAAUGCCAUAGUGAACUUUUUAUGACUACUAGCCUUGUUGUGAGGGUGUUACCUUUUGCCAUGACCAAAAGAGGAACAAAGGUCUGGGCCCUUUUAUGAGGAGGACAUAGAGUUAGGUAUAAAAGCUGGGGCCAGAGUGCAGAAAAAGGCCUAAAGGAAACACUUCUGGAAGCAUUCCCAUUUCUCUUCAGGCAGAGCUCUGAAACCAAGAUUAUGGUACAUUUCCUUAGCUCCUGGUGAUUUUCAGCUGCCCCAGGAAAACAAAGGUUUUCAGUGUGCUGUGAUACAAAGGCUGAUGAUCAGCAGUGCAGGCACAAAGUGGCUCAGCAGAAAUUGGUGCCACACACAAACAGCAAAUUCCUCUCCUUGGACUUUAAUCCAGAAAAGCCUUUCCGAGGAGGAGCAGCUCUGGGAUGUGGUAUAUCCAUGUGCAAGGGGAUUCUCUUUCAUGAGCUUGUGGUAAAGGAAUAUCACCCAUAUGUGAUGGGCUUGUGAUGGUAGCUGGAUGUGUAAGGAAUACUACAAUCUCCAAACUACUUUUUAUUUCCAUAGAUUAUGCAUGUAUGAUGUAUGGAAAUAAAAAGAUUUAACAUGUUACUCUCCUGUUAGGGCUAUUCAAAGAUUAAAGUCUCAGAGGAUUGAAAUUAUGUUGAAGUAUCAAAGAUUUUGGUAGCUUUACUUUUUAGUAAGAACCACUUGAUUAGAUGUAAACAUGGCCUAGAUAGUCAUUCUAUGGUUUUGUAGACUGUAUUCCUAUUGAUUAUGAAGGUCACAUUAAUUUGCUUCUCUUUGGAAAACACUGUGUUGCUGUCUCCAAAGAUUCUGGAAUACCCUGCUAUUGGCUGAGUCACAAACACAAAAUCAGGUGUAAUUUCUUCAGACCCUUUGCUGUUGUCACUAACACCACUGGUGUGUCCCCAUUACACCCAGAGUCCAGGUGUCCUGGCAUUACCUGUGGGACCUUCCAGGGACCCUAGGGCUCUUUCUGCCCCAGUUCCAGUCAGAUGGUGCCACUGCUGGUGGACUGAGGUAGAUGGGAGCAGUGCUUCAAGUGCCAAAGCCCAUUCCCAGGUCAGUGAGCUGUUGGGCACCUUGGAAGGAUGGAAGUCUGACCUUUAAACCUGUGCAUGGGACUGCUGACACAGAUUGGAUAUCAAUAUUAAAGCAGGUUAUCCUCACUUUUAUACAGGAGCAAAAUGUCCUUUCAGCACAUAAUUGAUUGACUGUGUCCUGCAUUUCUGACACCCACGCAGCCCCACAGGCUGCAGCUGCUGUCACUGGUGCUUUGUCUGAGGCUUUACCCAGGCUUCUGGAGAGCCCUGGUGCUGCAGCUGAACCAUUAGAAAACAAUCUGUUGUACUAAUUACUCAAAUUCUAAAAUACACCUUUGGAUUGUCUUUUUCUUAAUAUGCACAGUGCUUUUUGCUUGUUCAUUUCUCUUUCCUUUGCUCACAAAUCCUUGUAGGAUUUUCAUGGUAUCUGGAGUAUCAAUGUGGGAAGACUAUUCCCAAGCACUCAGUUUCUGCUCCCAGUUACAUUUUUUAUGCUCCAGAUACCAGGAGCAAUGUAACUGCUGUUUGGUUCUGUCCUUAUGCAACAGCACUGAUGAUAAUGUCAGAACUUGUCCAGCUCUGGUAGGAUUUCUAUUUUAAGUGGUGCAGGGUAGAUCUUCUCACACUGGGUUUUUAGAUAGAUCUUGCUCUUUAGUAUAGAAGUAAAUAGAAGGUGAUUCUGUAAAUGGGUAUUUCAGGCAAAGUUGAAGUAAGGCUUUCUAAAAGCAGAACUGAUUACAUCUUAGAGUAGCAGAAAUGGAGAGUAAGGGAUUCUGUUAUGCUGUGAGAACUCUUGCUAAUAUUUCAGCUUUGUAGAAAAUCAGCUGAAACUGGAUUCACUUGUGACCUUCACAGUGAAACCAGGGUCUUACCUGCUGCUGAACCCUAUGGAAAGGAGUGCUCAGAUCCAGAUGUAUCUCCAUGUCAUCCAGAUUUUAUUGCCAUGUCUAAGAGUGGAGUAGUUUGAGGCAAGGAAGAAGCUGUCUGAAUCACAGGUAAAGCAUGUGCCUGGCGUGCAUUAACAAAUUACCUGGAUAGUUGUAUGUAGGGAUUACAUUACUUUCUUAACUAUCUGGGAAUGAAGAAAACCUGCAGUUUGGAAUUUGCACUUCCAACCUCCAGAAAUUCCAUUUUUUUAUUUGGAAGCCCUGUGGUUGCUGAGCCCUGCCCACCCAACAUGUCACAUACUCAGAAACAAUAAUGACUUUCAGGCUUCCAGCCUGUUCCCCAUAGUGUAGGAUUACAUGUUCCAUGUCCCAGACAUCCAGCUGUUCCUUUCCCUUCCAACAGGAAUACCCAAAGACAAAUAUGUAGGCUAAUCAUUUAUUUUAAAUAAUUCCACUUGGAAAGAAGUGAAUAGAAGCUUGCUUCUUUAAGGAUGCAUCAAAGGACAGGUUCUUGAACUGCCGAAAACCAAUUGAAUUUUCCUGUGUUCUGUGGCAAUACUUCAUGUGCCAAUGAUUUGGAAUUAGAUUUAAUGAAGGAUCAGCUAUUACAAUAUUUAGUGCUGAUCACUUUAUUCAAAAUGAUUUUUCAGCUGAUACACGUUACACAGGAUCCUAUUUCUGUAUCAGUUAAUUAUUAAGAGUUUUCCCCUGUUCAUGGUCAGCUCUGAUCCAUUGCUGUUGUCAUGGCUAAGUAUGGACUGGAUUCUUCACUAUUUGACUCUACUCAUUGGCAUUUCAAGAAUGUAAAAUAUACCUUAAUGACAUAAAGUACAGGUAAAUUUAUUUUUCUUUACUUCACAUGAAGUGGUGAUAUAACUGUGGGUGCUGUCACAGACACACUUGGGUUUGCUCAGGCCUUAAGGAUGGGAAUCCUGACAAAUCACAUCUUUCAAAUAAACCCCCCCUCAGCACUCUUAUCUCACAUUGAGGAUCCAAUUCUGAUUUAGUGAUUCAAAACAACUCUAGGAAUUCAGAAAGAAAUUAGUUAGGUUUAAAUUUUGUUGUAUGCAGCUCUCUCUAAUGUUCAGAUAUUGGCACAGUUCUGUAAACUGCUGCUUAUGCCAGUCCUGCUGAAACUUUGAUGAAACCAUUCACAUAAGGUCAUUUUUUGGGUAGGAUGAUAGGAUUUCACCCUAGUCUGGGUCAAAAAUAUAACUUACCUGUGGUGUAAUAUUAUUUGGCAGAUGUGGAAACUGAGUACAUAGAGAAAAAUACAGAGGGUCUGUUGAAAUUACCAAAGUGAUGUUUCAACCUGAAAAAUGAGAAGAGAGAGAUUAAAAUACUGCUUUGAGUGCACUCAUGUAUAGUGUCUACGUAUUGGAAACAAAUUGCAGUACCAAAUCUAGAAAAGAGAAAAAAAGGAUCAUUUACUCAGCACAUGAAAAAUCUUGUUCUGCCAACAGCUUCACCUUGAUUUCAAAUUGAGCCUGCACAUAGUUAAUUUUAAGCAGAUCUAAGUACAGAUAGUAUCCUUCAGGAAAUUAAAAAAGUAGAACUGUAAUAAUUAAAACCCAUACUUGAACAUGGACAGUCUAGAGCUCAAAUUAAGUAUUUCCUAAGCAGACAUUAUUUUACAGACUUUACCAGUGCAGAUCCAUGAUUAUGUAUCAAUAAUACUGACAUGCAGAGCAGAUUUGGCUUUCUUCUGUUUCUUACUUUAUUAGAGCUUUGUUCACUAGUACACGAACUAUUUCUGUGAAUUUGUUCUUUCAUCUUGUUUUCAGUUGUGCAGCCAUAGUUUCCCUCAACACAGCCAACAGCUUUGCAGUUUUACUCCAAACUUCUGUUUGGUUGCUGUUCUUCAUUUAAGCUUAAAAUGUGUAAGAAAGCCUCUCAUGUAAUAGGAAAACUUGCCAUAAAAAAUGUAUAAAGGUUUUCUUGGGUACAUGUUUUCAAAUUUAAUAAAUGCAGUUUUCAGUUAUAAUUUGAAGUGGUCACUUUCUAGCCACUACUUCAGUUUUGUGUGCAAAAGAAAUGGAGAGACAAAAAAAAGAAAUCAUCCUUUUUUCCUUUAUUUUACUUCAGCAUUGUAAACAUUUGCUGAAAGACAUGGUUUUGGGGAGAUCAGAUAAAAAAGAGAUUUGCUGCCUAGUUGCUAUAAAUAAUAAAUCUGGACUUCAUGCUGAAAGCUCCUUCCCCGUCCCCAAAAGUGUACUGCUUGACAUGUGAAUUGUGUGACCUUGUACCAAGCCUAAUUCACAAACAGCGGUUCAGUUUGCCUGGUCAGUGCUUUCCGUGUGUCUCGUGGAGGAUUCAGGGUUCUGUGGUCUCAGAACAGGGACCAAGUGGUCGAGCAGGCUUGUUCCCAGGGUCAGGUGGCUCCGGAGUGGGCAAAUAUCCACCAGAAACAAGGUGUUCGUUCCUACCUCGCUGUUCUCUUGAGAACUUGCACAACUCUCUUGCCGUUAGCUUCUGGGGAUCCCUUCAAGAUUUUGCAAUGCUGACAAGCGGCUGGAUUUUGCUAAGAGACAAUUCUGGCAAUUUAGCGUCAGUUUUCAUAGGGAAACAGCACAAAACAUGGGGAUUUUGAAAGGUGAUGUGUUCUCAAUAGCCUGGGUGAGACUGUACAGUCUAGGAGUUUGGGCUAUUACAGAUACUGAAAUCUUCAGUAAUUGCUUUUGAUGGGAAGAAGUAUUGUUGUGGAACAACUGCUCUGAUCCAUGAGGAGUCACAUUGUCAACUGGAUGAACUGGAUAUUUUAGGCUUCACUUCUGUUGUUUUAAUCUUCAUGUUUUACCCCCUCUCACUUGGGCUUCCCCAGUAAAUGUACUGUGCCAGAUCUUUGCACAAAAAUUAGAGCAUUUUGCCCAACAAGCAUGCAGGAAGUGUUCAUAACUGCAACUAGAGCCCUGCUGUCAAGAGUUUAUUUCAUUAAUAGAGAGGAAUUGAGUGUAACUCCAGAUAAGGAGUGGCAGUGCAGCAUCCUGAGAGCUGUCACUGCUCAAGAUCAGGACAGCUAGCAUGCCACUAACUCAAAAUUAGAUGGUUCCUAACAAUGAUACAAAAUAACUUGAAAGAAAAGCUGGUUUUUGUCUUGCAGAUUGGAUGAAAAUAAAAUCCCAAAUACGGGAUAUAUUUAAUUGAGGUAGAAAUUUAUUAAAGCUCUCUGUAACAGAGGUACAGAGCACAUCCAGUGGUUUAGUGGGAAAGCAAAGUGGUGUUACUAAAUUGUUGUCAAUAAACAUAACAUCCAAAAGCAGGUAUAAGCUAUUUUCAAAUUCAUUUUUAUGGUUUGGUUUUUUUCUGGUUAUGUUGUAGUUGUGAUUUGAUUUGCAUUUACAUUGAUGGAUAAAGAAGAGAACACAAGUUCCCAAAGUAGGGCUGGAAUGAAUUUGGGCUAGAAUUAGAGACAUGGAAGAGUGGUGUGAGUAAAGCUGGAGUUUUCUGUCAGUUAUAAAUCAAGUGAAUUUUUAUAUUACUAUUUUUCCAGGACAACAAGCAUCCACACCAUAAACUUUGGCUCUGUCAUGGCUGUUUGAGAAGUGUGAAUCCAAUUGCUGUGUGUGCUUGGACACCAGUUUUGAGGGUUUUUUUGUUUUGUUUUUUUUUGCAAGUAUCCCCUUGGAGUGCAUCUACUUUGUGCAUGUUUGGCUAAAACCACAAAAACAAACCACUUUUGUUUUUAUGGAUUGCUGCACACGCAUCUGGUUCUGGUGGAAAGAGGAGGAAGUUUUGUUAGCUCGUGGGUUGCAUAUUUAUGUGAAUUACUUACAGCAUUGGUAAACUACUGUCAACUUUGUUCACAUUGCACAAGAUACUCUGUGUUGUCUAUUGCUGGUGUUAUAACCUCAGUGAUCCAUGCAUAUCCUGUAAAUUCCUGUAGGUUCUGUGUAAGAAAUCUUGCCACCACUGCUUUCUACUGUAAAUUCUUGUUUUGAAGCAGGAGGUGGCAUUUGACUGUACAGCCAUGUAUAUAUUAUACUGCACCAGUCCUUGUUCUGUCCUCUGAACUCGCUGUCCACAUCGAGUUGAAGCUCUGUUAAGCACGCUUAGUGGUUUCAGAAUUUAUUUCAAACAGCAGAUCUAUAAGCCAUUUACAGAACUAUUAAAUGUAAUGUACAAGAAUUCAACCCAGUUCAUAUCCUUCUCUGAGAGCUUGGGGUUGGAUUGCAGCAGGCAGCUGCAGGUUUUGUGGCGUCCCAGGUGCCUGUGCCUGCACACCUGAGAGGUGUCACAGCUGUGCAGUGUCCCCUGCAGAGGGGUGCCCCAGGCACAGCACCUGGGCAGGCUGCUCCUCACAAAGAUGUGUUUUUUAUUCCCCACAAGCUGCAGCAGUGCCAAGACAGAAGCCCAUCUCUAGGGCCAUUCGAGAGGCACAGCACUGCCUGCCUUGUGUCCUCAUCCCCACCCACUGCAGGCUGUACCUGAGGUGGUGUUUAAAGGAGAUUUGACCUCUCUGUCUGGUUACCAAGAGAGGAAAAUAACCUGAAUUCUGGGACUCUGCAUUCUUUUUUUACAGUAUUUUACGAUAUACAACAAAGACCUGAAAAUGUCUGUGUGUUCUUUGCUGGUUUCUGACAUCAGAAUUUCAAGUCCUGUCUAGUCUGAAAGGCAAUGAUGGGAGAAGCGAAGAAGCUUGGAAAGUUGAAGGGGAUUCUUACUUGGAUUACUUUAACUUCUGUGUUUCUAUUGAUAGUUCAAUUAAAUGAGUAGGCUAAUCUUUAGAAUCAAGGCAGUCUUAAUGACUUUGCACCUUCACCCUUUCAUGUAAGACUUUGAGAACUUGCAAUAAGUGUUCCUCAUGCUUACAGUCCGAUUUGUAGAUAAAUUCCCUGUAUUUCUAAGAUCAAAAAAUAUUUCUACAGUUACUUUAGCCCUUUACAGAGAACAACAGGGCAAUCCCUGUCCCAUAAUCCCAAGUAUUUGUAGGUGUAUUUUAGACAAAGAAUGACUUUCAACAUCAUAAAUGAAACUAUUGUUCAAUAUUCCAGUCUCUGGAAGUAAAGGAAACCUCAGUAAUUUUGCAAACCAGCAAGAAUGAAACUUGUCUAUAUAAAUACUAAUGUAGAAAGUGCAUGCAAAACUUGAUACUGCCUCUGACCUUAAUCGUUACUAUUGAUACUAUUGGGGAUCUCACAAAUGUGUGUUUCAGAACGCUGUAUUUCUCCUCAGUGUGUGCUUCAUCCUCAUUUCCGACAGCUCCUGCCAAGAGCCAGCCCAUGCCGUGGCCAAGGCGUGGGGAUGCACAGCUCCCACAGCACCACGGAUACGUGGACAUGAGUGCGUGUUGUGUUAGGAUGAGUAACCACUCCGGCUGCAAGCCCCUCCAGACCCUGUGUGCAGCUCCAGGGCAGCCUCUGGGGUGUCUGGGAGGGCUGCAGUCCCGUGCACCCAAGCUGUCUGGCUGGCCCAUCCCAGGCGGCUCCGGGUGCUGCUCUGGGGGAUUGUCAUGAACUCAAGCCUCACUGUGUGACGUGUGAUGAGCUCCUUGCCAGAGCUGCAAAGGCGCAGGUGGUGUGGGUCACUGACCCAGAGCGUGUCUGGCUGGGAGCCUCAGACAGGGCUGUGACAGACUGGAUUGUCAUGGUGAUACUGUGCCACCACAUCAGACUUGUUUCCGCUCCAUGCUGUGGCCUGAUUCAUCCUGCCCUAAUUUCAGCUGGCUAAAAAUUACCUGCUGGGUCUUGUGUGUAAGUCAGAGGAGGGACACGAGUGGAGAGAUUGCAUUAUGGCAUCAUUUGCCCUCACCACUGAUGAACAGCUGGAAUUAGGUGGGAUGAAUCCAAGUGUGUACAAUUGGCUUCUCACACCUCUACACAAACGUGUAUUUGUUUGAGCUUGGAAUGGGCAAGAAUAAUGCAGCUCCUUUGAACCUGAAUCCAAGUGUCUUACAGAUGACUUUUCUGAAUUCAAUCUCAAGCAUGAUAUUUCUGCCCUGUAGUGCUGUUUUCUGUAUUUUUACUUUGAUUGUAAUCAACAGCUGUAGCUUGAACUUGCAAAUUGUUGGAACAAUUCUAGAGUGAUGAUCCCUGCCUAGGAAACCUCACCUUCAUUUCUUAGAGUGGGCUUCCUUGUUAGAGUGGGCUUCCUUGUUACCUGCACUGAUCUUCUUUGGAAGCAACACAGGGAAAAACCAUUGUAUAGAUCAAUCAACACCAGCAAUAGCAUAUGCAGCUUUUAAAUUCAGCUAUGAAUUUAUGAGCUUGUAACUAUGAGCUAUGAAUUUAUGAGCUUGUAACUAAGGUAUUAAUGCUCAUACUUUCCAGUUGUGGCUAAAGAUUCCUUUCCUGACAGGUUCAAGGAAUAGAUCUAGGAGGUUAUGGUUGAGGAUUGUGAGAACACAUGUAGUAAUGGCAGUUUACGAUAGGUUUUUUUGGGGAAACAUGCGAUAAAACGUGUUGGGAUUCGGUGUUUUGGUUUGGAGAUAAGGGAAUACCCCAUGUCAGAAAGAGCAGAUCUGCAGGCAGCGUUACUGUGGGUUAGCAGAGCCUGCUUCCAGCAGGUUCCUCCUCAUUCCCCUGGACACCUUCCCCGUUACCUGCGGUACGAAAUCCUGGCAGCAGUCGUGCUAGUUGUUGUGGCGAGCUGAGGAACAGCUCCAGGUCCAAACUCAAAUGCUGUAGCUGCACCUUUCACCUUCAUCGAGCUUCCACAUUCUCAGAGCUGGGCUGGGACAGCAGGCGCCUCCACAGCUGCCCUGUAAUUUCAUCACACAAAAGUGGGUGUCACUUUUUCAGUUUAACAGCAGCAGUAUUGAUCCAUUCUCUUUAUUUCCUAAGUUGUGAGUCAUUUGCUGUUGGAAAUGAUACAGAUCUUGUGUAGCUGUGAGUAGAGAAAUUGAGAUUUGUUUCUUAAGAUGAGCUGGUACAAUUCCUGCUCUGCUGUUCAAUAUUUUUGAGUGCUGAAGGUAACCAAAAUGCUACUUUCAUGGAUUAUCUCAGCCUCAGCUCUGCAUGAAAAUGGGUAUGAAAUUCCAGUUGCUGUUCCUGGUUUCUCUGUGAAUUCUGAGCCAAAGGUAAAGCAGUGGCAAAGAUUGUUGUGGCACUCACUGACACCUUUUCAGAUGCAUAAAGCCAUUCUGUCUGUCAUCUGAGGGUGUUCCAGUUUUCUCACUGGGUCACCGUGUUGCUGUCAGCCAGUGGAGGAAAGGUGGAUGAGCUCACCACCUGGGAAAGAGUAGAAAUGUAGCAAGCAAUGAGCUAUGUUCUCCAACAGUCCUUUAUUUGUAGAGCUUCACUUCAAAUUAACAUUUGUAUCUUCAGUUGUUAUUGUACCAUUCACUAUCUUGAGGUGGUAUGAGCAGAAAUUUAUGAAUAUAUAUAAUUUACCAGAAAUAUAGGCUUGUAUUGUGCCUUUGUAAUUCUCUUCAGCUUCAGUAUGUAAACGCUACGAGCAGACAAACUUCCUCCCUCUUUUGGGGUGUUCUUUACUGCAGCAGUAGCUGAUGGCUUCAUCAAUAUUGGCUCUUUUAGUCUUCUGGGGCUAACAUUUCUGUUUCUCUGAGUGAAAAUGCCAUAGUGCCCUCAGCAGACAUAAGCACAAUGACAUGACACUGCAGUGCAUGCUGUCUCUUAGCUUCUCUCUACACGUGCUUGCAUGUUGGAAGAUCUGAAGAGCUGCUGUAUAAAUUGCUACAUUAUUUACCCAAUACAGGUGGUCUUCCGCAUCCCUUUUUUGCUCAAAACCCCCAUUAACUCAGAAGUUAGUGAUGGCUCAAAGGGGGGUUUUGGAAGCACAAAGGAUGCAGGAAGCAACUCCUCAGUAGUUUACAGGCUGCUAUAAAUGUCUUUUCAGCAACGAAAUGUAGCAUUUUAGCAGUAAUUUCCUAGAGAAAACACUGAGCGUGCUUAUCACUUAAGAUUUUAAGGAAAAAAGUGUCAGACUGUGUAAUUGUAUCUCAUAUAAUUUCGACACUUAACCAGUUUUAUCUACAUAUUCAUGCUAUACCAACCAACACAGACCUGAAAGGUGACAGCCAUGUUUUUGUUACACAAGAAGUCACAGUUUUCCAGAGGUUCUGUUUUGAAUUUUUGCUUCUUUACCACAUUUUCACUGCAGAGGUAUUUUUCUAUAUAGUUACCUGAGGCUUCCUUUCACCAACCAAAAGAGUCUGUAGCCCUCUGCACUGUGAAAGGCAAAGCCCUGUGGAGAGACAGGGGCUUUGCACUUGCCCAGCAAAUUAGCAGAAAUUUCACCCAAGCCAUAAAAGCCUCUUAUGUUAAUCUCUGUUUAUGUAAUUAAAGCAAUUAGGGAUAGGAGCUUCAGGAAUAAUGAGGUCUCUCUAUCCUCCAUUUACUCUCUCUGUGCUUCAUAGGGAUUUAAGGGUUCUUUUUUCAAGGCUCAGCUGUGUCUCUUCAAGCCAGUGCAGCCUAAGCAUCGUGUGAGAUGCAGUUUGUGGAGAUAGCAUUGGAGCGUGAAAGAUUUACUUCUGGUAGCAAGGAAAAACUCCUGUCCCUGUGGACAUGGACACUUGCAAACAAGUCUGAUACCGAGAUUUAAAACAAAUGCUUUCAAGAUGGUACCAGUACAUCAGACUCUGUUCUACAGUGGGGUUUUUAGCUUUUGUCAUUUGUAUUUUAUUUUGUGAAAAAAGGAGUUGGGGGGAUCUCAGAUCACAUGGGGAAUAUUAGAAGUAUAUCACUCAACAAUCAUUUUAUAAAGUCUAACUUCAAAAUGCACUAUGAUUUAUUACAAAAGUAUAUUUUCUUCUGUUUUUCAACAUGGUGGUUCCAUUUUGUGAUAAGUUAAACUCAGCAGUUAAUUUGUUGCACUGCCUGGCUGCAUGAAUUCAUCCAGUGUACAUACGUACCUGUGCAGCAUUACUUUUGGGGUUUGUAUUUGAAUUUGCAGUAUUGAUUAUUAUUUUUGUAUUUUACUUUGCCUCUGUUAUUGGAAUUGUAGUAAACAUAAUUUAUACAUAUGAUUUUACAACUGUUUUGCAACUGAAAAGUCUCCUUUAAAUUGUAAAGUUUUAUUGAUGGAUACUCAUUAAAAUGGUAUAAGAAUUAUAUUAACAAUUGUUUUGUGUUUUGAUGCUCUCUGUAUAUAAAUAUAUGUCUAUUUAUCUGUUUAAUGGUGCUUGUGUCUUGCAAUUUUGGAUACAUUUUAGAAUAAAGUUUCAUUUUACAA